GCCCAUCUCCCGGCUUGAAGGACUGCAAAAGGUGGUAAUGAAAGGUUGCAUGCGGUUGAAUGUGGAGGCAAUUUAUCGUCUUUGCUUGGAGAGGUCAGUCGAAUUUGUGGGAGAAGACGACGAAUUGGAGGGAGAAAACGAAUCUUUUUCUUUUUGGACAAGAAGGCGACGAAUCUGGAUCUCAGCAAGAAGACAACGAAUCUGAAUCUAAAUCUGAGGGAGAAGACAGCAAAUAUGAACAUGAAUCUGAGGGAGAAGACGAUGAAUGAGUGCACAUUGCUUUUGAAAGCUUCUUGAUCCACGACCACAAAUUGUUCCCUUGGGUCCAGACUUUAAACGAAUUGAGGGAGCUGUGGCUAAUUGGGCAGCUAUACAGAUGAAGACGGAAUGGAGGAAAAUGAAGAUGACAUUCAAAGUGCAAUUUACGUCCACUUUAUAAUUACUUUGGGAGUUGAUGCCUGGGAAUCUGAAAAAGUUUAUUUUCCAAGCAAGGUGUGCUUCUUGGAAGGAUUUGCAAAUGUUACGGAGAAGUUAUAAAAUGAAGAAAGAGGAACUUCACUUGGGUAGCGGCAUCAAUGUUAGUGCAGCAAAGGUUCCAUCUGUGACAAGAGAACAGACCUAUCUAGCUUCUCCAAGGGAGCUGUGGCGUUUUUGGGCAGUUGUAUAGAUGGAGACCCAUGCAAAAGGCAGAUGAUGGAUGAAACUUGAAGCUGACCGUAGUCCCUCUCAUAAUCUUGGGGUGGUAAACCCUGUAUUCGUCUGUUUUAGGGGGUAAAAGGGCUGUUUAGGCAAAUCUGAUUGUGUUUUUUCCUUUAUUGUGGGCCCACAAAAAUGAUUAUUACAUUUCAUCUAAUGUGUGUUCUGUUCAUUGUUAUGCGAUAGAACUUGCUUAUCAGUACCCAGAUGUUCUUCUAUGAGAAAACACUUGAAGGCCAUGUCUGGACCGGGAGAAAAGUUGUGUUCUUAGAGUGGUGCUCAAGGUAGUCUUAGUUGCUCAUGCCAAAUCCAGUUCAUGGACCUCUCGAUGUGAAAAUGGUGCUCAAUGUAGUCUUAGUCAUGAGUUGUAGGCACUCACAACACAAGAAACAUGGAUUGUUGGAAGUCAUGGAAUGGGCCAUGCUGGAGAGACGACUCUUGCCUAGCUCAUCUACAAUCAUCUUGCACAUGGUUGUGAGCACUGCUGCAUUUUUUCUAACAUCUGUGAAACUUCAGAGCUCAAGGGCAUUCAGUUCUUGCGGAAUUACUCAUCUCCAAUAUCCUCAAAAGGAAGUUGACAAAAAUAAGUAAUGUUCAUGAAGGGAUCAAGACAAUUAAAUAUAGGCUUUUCAGUAAUAGAGUUCUCGUCCUUUUUUAUGUUGUUGACCAGAAGAAUCAAUUGAAUGCACUCAUGGGUAACAUUUGUGAUAUUCGAGCAUUCUGAAUUCUUCAAUGGGGAAUAUCAAGCGCUGAAGGAUCUUGAAAUUCUCAGUGCUUUUUGUUUGUAAUAUCGGUGCUUUUUGUUGAUCAAAGGCACUACCAUCCUUAAAAGAUUCAGCCAUUUCCUGAAAAAUUUAGAAGAAAAUUUCAGCAGAGGAGUUCAUUUUCCAAUAAGAAGUGCAUGUGGUACUUGAAGGUCCUGCAUCCACAACUAAGUCUGCUGUCAAGGAAGAUUUGAAACUUAAUUGGUUAUUGCCCUAUGUCAUCUCAGCAGAACUUCAUUGUUGUCUUUCUUGGGAUCGUUAUCAGUUAUACAUAAAUUACAACCACACCUUGGCAAGUUGACUUGAAAUAUAUUGUUCUUGUAGGUAUAGUUAUUCGUGGCUGAUUUUGCAACCGUUUCCUGCCUUUAAGAUGGAUCGUUGUAACCUGCUUAUGAAAUGGGACAAUGAUUUCUUUUGA